AAUGUAGUCCCUCCAUCCCAAAAUUCUUGCCUUAAGUUUGUCUUGAAAUGGAUGUAUCUAAAUACUAAAACGUGACUAGAUACAUUCAUGUCGAGAUAAAUCUAAGACAAGAAUUUUGGGACGGAGGGAGUAGUUA
rfam:Hordeum vulgare subsp. vulgare, WGS project CAJW01000000 data, contig: morex_contig_361489